rnacentral:misc_RNA from 1 species
CAGAGUCGUAAAACACUCCCAAACCCAUGUGAACUUACCUUUGUUGCCUCGGCAGGGACCUACCCGGUAGCUACCCUGUAGUUACCCUGUAGCCUGCCGGUGGACCAUUCAACUCUUGUUAUUUUAUAGUAAUCUGAGCGUCUUAUUUAAUAAGUCA